AGCAAGUGGAGUAGUUUAACAAGAUUCAUAUUUAUAGUUUCUAUUCAUAAUUGGGGGAUGAUACAUUGGAAAUUAAGGAAAAUACAAUACAUAUAAAAUCCAAAUCAUACAAAUUCAUUUGUUUAAUUAGUAGUUGUGUAAAACAACAUUGUGUAUCUUGGCAGUGCCGAAGAGUAGCUAUUAGGCUACGAGAGAUUUAUCAUCGACCAUUACCACCACCACCACUACCUGACCCACUCCCUACUCCAACACCUUUGCCAGCUCCAGCACCAACACCAACUCCAAUACCAAUUCCAAUUCCAACUCCGAUACCUCCACCAUGUCCACCUCCUCCUCCUAAUCCUCCCCCUGACCCACCACCUAAGCCUCCACCCGCACCAAAACCACCACCAUGACCUGAUCCUCCUCCUACCCCACCUCCGCCACCACCUCCAAAUCCUCCUCCACCUCCUACUCCUCCACCAGCUCCGCCUCCAACUCCACCACCUGCACCAAAUCCACCACCGUGGCCUGAACCACCUCCAAGACCGCCACCUCCUCCUCCACCACCACCGCCUCCUCCUCCACCUCCGCCUCCAGCACCUCCUCCAACACCACCUCCGGCACCAAAACCUCCACCAUGUCCAGAACCACCUCCGAUACCUCCUCCACCACCACUACCUCCACCUCCACCAGCUCCACCACCAAGCCCUCCUCCUGCACCACCACCUACACCUCCUCCUGCUCCAAAUCCACCACCAUGACCUGAACCUCCACUUACACCUCCUCCUCCACCACCACCAAAUCCACCACCUCCACCAACACCUCCUCCAGCACCGCCACCUACACCACCACCAGCUCCACCACCUGCUCCUCCCCCUAGUCCUCCUCCACCUCCACCACCUGCUCCUCCCCCAAGACCUCCUCCGCCACCUACUCCACCUCCCGCUCCUCCACCUAGUCCAC
rnacentral:lncRNA from 1 species